rnacentral:rRNA from 1 species
CGAACGCUGGCGGCGUGCCUAAUACAUGCAAGUUGAGCGCUGAAGGUUGGUACUUGUACCACCUGGAUGAGCAGCGAACGGGUGAGUAACGCGUGGGGAAUCUGCCUUUGAGCGGGGGACAACAUUUGGAAACGAAUGCUAAUACCGCAUAAAAACUUUAAACACAAGUUUUAAGUUUGAAAGAUGCAAUUGCAUCACUCAAAGAUGAUCCCGCGUUGUAUUAGCUAGUUGGUGAGGUAAAGGCUCACCAAGGCGAUGAUACAUAGCCGACCUGAGAGGGUGAUCGGCCACAUUGGGACUGAGACACGGCCCAAACUCCUACGGGAGGCAGCAGUAGGGAAUCUUCGGCAAUGGACGAAAGUCUGACCGAGCAACGCCGCGUGAGUGAAGAAGGUUUUCGGAUCGUAAAACUCUGUUGGUAGAGAAGAACGUUGGUGAGAGUGGAAAGCUCAUCAAGUGACGGUAACUACCCAGAAAGGGACGGCUAACUACGUG